rnacentral:rRNA from 1 species
UACGUAGGGUGCAAGCGUUGUCCGGAAUUAUUGGGCGUAAAGAGCUCGUAGGCGGUUCGUCGCGUCGGCUGUGAAAUCCCGGAGCUCAACUCCGGGUCUGCAGUCGAUACGGGCGGACUCGAGUUCGGCAGGGGAGACUGGAAUUCCUGGUGUAGCGGUGAAAUGCGCAGAUAUCAGGAGGAACACCGGUGGCGAAGGCGGGUCUCUGGGACGUUACUGACACUGAGGCGCGAAAGCGUGGGGAGCGAACAGG